CAGUCGCCGCGGGAAUACAGAGGGUGCAAGCGUUAAUCGGAUUUACUGGGCGUAAAGCGUGCGUAGGUGGCUGUUCAAGUCGGAUGUGGAAGCCUUGGGCUUAACCUGGGAACUGCAUUCGAUACUGGAUAGCUAGAGAUCGGUAGAGGGCAGCGGAAUUCCGGGUGUAGCGGUGAAAUGCGUAGAUAUCCGGAGGAACACCGAUGGCGGAGGCAACUGCCUGGGCCUGAUCUGACACUGAGGCACGAAAGCGUGGGUAGCAAACAGGAUUAGAUACCCGCGUAGUCCCUGUCUCUUAUAC
rnacentral:rRNA from 1 species